GCUUAGCUGGGCUUAGUCGGUGGAGCACGUAGCUCUUGAUCUCGGGGUUGUGAGUUCAAGUCCCACGCUGGGUG
rnacentral:tRNA from 1 species